UUGCCAUUAUUUUAUCCAAAUUUUACUAAAAUUGUACAUUCAAUUAUUAAUGCAUAAUAGUCUGUCAACUUGGAAUAAUAUGGUCGCUUGGAAAAGUUGUUUUUACCAAUAAAAAUUUGGAAAAUUUUUAACCGAUUUCAGGUGCAAUUGGAGAAUCCUGACGCAAGUUUUGUUCAAUAUGGAAAUACUGAAGAGUUCAUAGCUGGGCAUAAUUGUCAACAGCACUACACUGAUGAACCCGUAUUAUUUGAGAACACGAAUUGCGUAAUCAAU